rnacentral:tRNA from 1 species
GCGCCCGUAGCUCAGAUGGAUAGAGCGUCGGACUUCGAAUCCGCAGGUCAGGGGUUCAAGUCCUCUCGGGCGCG